AUUGAACGCUGGCGGCAUGCCUAACACAUGCAAGUCGAGCGGACGGACGAGGAGUUUCCCCCGCUGACGUUAGCGGCGGGCGUGUGAGUAACACGUGGAUAACCUCUCUAUAGGACUAUGACCAGUUCGGGGCCCCAGUACUACUACCGGCGAUUAUAUUAAACAGCCUGGUUCCCUUGGGACAGCCGGUUUUACUGUCACUUGUAGGUGGAUCCGCUCGGUAUUAGCUAGUUGGUCUGGUAACGGCUUACCAAGGCGACGAUGCGUAGCUGGCCUGAGAGGAUGAUCAGCCACACUGGAACUGAGACACGGUCCAGACUCCUACGGGAGGCAGCAGUGGGGAAUAUUGGGCAAUGGGCGAAAGCCUGAUGGAGCAAUGCCGCGUGAGUGAAGAAGGUCUUCGGAUUGUAAAGCACUGUUAUUAGGGAAGAACAACUGUGUAAUAAUACAUGCGCGUCUUGACGGUACCGAAUGAGUAAGCACCGGCUAACUACGUG
rnacentral:rRNA from 1 species